rnacentral:lncRNA from 1 species
AAACCGGCUCCACCUAAACCAGCUCCAGCUCCAGCUAAACCGGCUGAAAUUGUUGCCUGGCCGGUUCAGAUGAACAACCCUUACCAAUACAAUCCUGCCUAUGCAAAUUCUUACUAUCAACCAUAUGGGAACUCUAGAUUUGUAACGGACGAAUCAAAUUGUGUGAUUAUGUGAUAACUUAUUUCAAAUAAUGUGUUAAGUUAGUUUUGAUGGAAGAGUGUAAUUUUUUAGCUACUGUAAUAUACAUUUCUCAUAUGAGCUUAUUCAGAAAAAUUUAUGUUACUGUAUGAUAAAUUUGAUCUUUAUACGUUUUGUUAACUUUAACUUUUAAUCAUUUAGUAAUAGUUGAUCUUUUUCCUAUACAGAAUAUUAUUCUCUAUACUUUGUCUUUUGCUUAUAUACUAAUCAAAUGGAUACAAAAAUAUCACACACACACACACAUAGUUAAGUCGCUCUCAACUUAUUUAUGAAUAUCAAGUACCAAGAUCGUUCACGUAAUACAUUCAAUUGUCCAAAACUAAAAUAAUUUUGAAACAAUUAGAGAAUGAGAUAUUAGUAAAGAUGUGAUGUAGAGAGUCAAGAUCUGAAAGUCUCCUUUAGCAAAACAAAUACUAAUCAAUAAAAUUCCUACUUGGAGGGAUCCACAUGUAAACUGAGGCUUUCGAGGACAUUUCCUUUCUUGACUAUGAAAUAGCAGUAUUAUCCGAGUCUUCUUACCAUUUUUCAAAUAUAAAUCGCACAUUUACAGAUUAAAAAAAAAAAAAUUGGAUUCAUGCAUUGAGUUGAUUUUGAAAUCUAACAAAACUCUUGUGUUACUUUUAAGUCAUGACUUCUAAAAUUUUAGUUUAAAUCAUGUGUUAUUAAAGUAAUCGUUUAAAAUACAAAUUAAAAUUUGUGUUAAUCUAUUAGUAUUUUAAAAUUACAAAUUAAGAAUUAUGUUUUUUUUGUCUGCGAAUUUUGUUUUCGUUGCGCAACCAAAGAAUUGUGGGUAAGAAAUGUGUAAUACAAGUAUGAUGCAUAUAGAAUGGCUCGCCAUGAAAAAAAGCUGCAUAAAUGAAUUGCUAGGAUCAUGAAUGUUAAGUUGAUCAAUUAUACUGGAUAUAAAAGUUAAAGUAUCUUCAAAUGAUACUGUAUCAGACAAACCAAAGAAACGUGUGAGUAUAUUAGAAAAUGAAGGUAUUUAGUACAUUUUUAUAUAUUUAAUGAGAUUAACACUUCUAAUUAUAGUAUAAUUUAUACACUAACGCGUUAAUCAAAAAUAGACAAUUUGACGUAGUAGGAGAGUCAGCUUUUAAUCUAAAAUUCGAAAAAAUGAAUAUACUAAAUAGCUCAUCUCUGCCAAUAAUGCUUCUCUUGUUUAUUAUACUCUUUACUCACAGAUAAAUAUAGCGAAAUGGAGAGACUAGCUAGAAAUUACAAUAAAGGAUCACAUACAUUGUUACCUAAUUAUUAUUUUCUUAAAAUUUGAACAAAUACGUGUGUCAGCAUUAUGCUAAUCUUCUUUGUAUCGUUUCAAAAAAUUUCAAAUAUUCCCGGUAACAAAAAUUUGACCUUAAGAAACAAACAUGUACACAAAUAUUCGUUGCCAUCACAAACACAAAACCCAUAGAUCACAAACACGUUACAACUUGUUACCUUUUUGUUGUUGUUGUUCUUAAUGAUUUUGCUACUUGUUACUUUCCUCUUGACUUCUUUGAUGAUCUCGGGCUUUCAACUGUUUUUUGGGCAGCUUCGAAUUAUUUUCGUGUGGCUCUGAGUAGGCAUUAUAUUGUUACGAUACCUAGAGACAACAACGAUAACAUUGAAACAAACUUAUCUUUCCUCUCUCACUAUUCACAACAACUUUAAAAUAAAAUAAAAGAACAAUUGUGACAAUCUCGGUUUUAUUUCGAGUUUAUCUAUUAGUUCUGAAAUGAUUCAACUUUUCCAAGAACACACUGUAUAGAACUUUCCUGAGAAUUUCUUACGUGCCCAAAGUGCCAAUAGGGUCAACAUAUGGACAGGGUCGUACACGCG